GAUGAACGCUAGCGACAGGCUUAACACAUGCAAGUCGAGGGGCAUCGGGACGUAGCAAUACGUUGCCGGCGACCGGCGGAUGGGUGAGUAACGCGUAUGCAACCUGCCCACGACAGGGGGAUAGCCCGUUGAAAGACGGAUUAAUACCCCAUAAAACAGGGGUUCCGCAUGGGACUAUUUGUUAAAGGGUUUUCCGCGAGGGGGAUCCGGUUGUGGAUGGGCAUGCGUUCCAUUAGGCAGUUGGUGGGGUAACGGCUCACCAAACCGACGAUGGAUAGGGGAACCGGGAGGUUGGUCCCCCACACUGGUACUGAGAUACGGACCAGACUCCUACGGGAGGCAGCAGUGAGGAAUUUUGGCAAUGGACGGAAGUCUGAACCAGCCAAGUCGCGUGAAGGAAGGCGGCCCUAAGGGUUGUAAACUUUCUUUGUAAGGGAAUAAAGGCCGGUACGCGUUACCGGUUGCAGGUACCUUACGAAUAAGGAUCGGCUAACUCCGUGCCAGCCGCCGCGGUAAAACCCGCGUAUGU
rnacentral:rRNA from 1 species